GGGGGCGUACGGUUUCGACGGGGGUUAUGAGGUUCAGGUUGCAUGCCGUGAGUUCCGUCAGCACGUUAAAAGGACGGAGACUUUUACAAAAGCCAACAACGAACUAGCACUCGCCGCGUAAAAAAAUGCGGCACGCUGCUCCUGAAGGUGUCUGUGGUCGGGAGUUAGCGUCAUAAAGCAGGCUGGUAUGGGGUGGAUGCCUCUGCACCUUGUACGAGAAAAAAGAGGAUUGGGUCCUCGAGGACUUGCCUGUAUGGUUUAAAGGGCCCGAGAUAGAAAAAAGGACAGGAUAAGCAUGUAGACGCUUGGAAGUAGUGCUCUCGGACGCGGGUUCGACUCCCGCCGCCUCCACCA
rnacentral:tmRNA from 1 species